CGCACCUUGCGCUCCUUGGUAUUCCAUGGAGCAUGCCUGUUUGAGUGUCAUUACAACCCUCAAGCUCUGCUUGGUGUUGGGCGUCGCCCCUUGGGGCGCGCCUCAAAAUCAGUGGCGGUGCCAUCCGGCUCCAAGCGUAGUAAUUCUUCUCGCUCUGGGUCCCGGUUGUGUGCUUGCCAUCAACCCCAAAUUUUCAAAGGUUGACCUCGGAUCAGGUAGGGAUACCCGCUGAACUUAA
rnacentral:misc_RNA from 1 species